rnacentral:rRNA from 1 species
GAUGAACGCUAGCGGCAGGCUUAACACAUGCAAGUCGAGGGGUAACAUUGUAGCUUGCUACAGAUGACGACCGGCGCACGGGUGCGUAACGCGUAUACAAUCUACCUUAUACUGGGGAAUAGGCCAAAGAAAUUUGGAUUAAUGCCCCAUAGUAUUUUUGGAACACAUGUUCUAAUUCUUAAAGCUCCGGCGGUAUAAGAUGAGUAUGCGUGAUAUUAGCUAGUUGGUGAGGUAACUGCUCACCAAGGCAACGAUAUCUAGGGGGUCUGAGAGGACUAUCCCCCACACUGGUACUGAGACACGGACCAG